rnacentral:rRNA from 1 species
GACGAACGCUGGCGGUGUGCUUAACACAUGCAAGUCGAACGGUAAGGCCCUUUCGGGGGUCCACGAGUGGCGAACGGGUGCGUAACACGUGAGUAACCUGCCCUCAUCUCUGGGAUAACAGUCGGAAACGGUUGCUAAUACUGGAUAUGAGCCUGCAAGGCAUCUUGUGGGUUGGAAAGAUUUUUUGGUUGGGGAUGGACUCGCGGCCUAUCAGCUUGUUGGUGAGGUAGUGGCUCACCAAGGCUUCGACGGGUAGCCGGCCUGAGAGGGCGACCGGCCACAUUGGGACUGAGAUACGGCCCAAACUCCUACGGGAGGCAGCAGUGGGGAAUAUUGCACAAUGGACGGAAGUCUGAUGCAGCAACGCCGCGUGCGGGAUGACGGCCUUCGGGUUGUAAACCGCUUUCAAUUGUGACGAAGCUUUUUGUGACGGUAGCAGUAGAAGAAGCACCGGCUAACUACGUG